UGCCAGCCGCCGCGGUAAUUCGUAGGGUGCAAGCGUUGUUCGGAAUCACUGGGCGUAAAGGGCGUGCAGGCGGAAAAUUAAGUGAUGGGUGAAAGCCCGGGGCUCAACCCCGGAAGUGCUCAUCAUACUGGUUUUCUAGAGUUAUUCAGAGGUUAACGGAAUUCCUGGUGUAGAGGUGAAAUUCGUAGAUAUCAGGAAGAACACCGGAGGCGAAGGCGGUUAACUGGGAAUAUACUGACGCUGAGGCGCGAAAGCAUGGGGAGCAAACAGGAUUAGAUA
rnacentral:rRNA from 1 species